UACGUAGGUCCCGAGCGUUGUCCGGAUUUAUUGGGCGUAAAGCGAGCGCAGGUGGUUUAUUAAGUCUGGUGUAAAGGGCAGUGGCUCAACCAUUGUACGCAUUGGAAACUGGUAGACUUGAGUGCAGGAGAGGAGAGUGGAAUUCCAUGUGUAGCGGUGAAAUGCGUAGAUAUAUGGAGGAACACCGGUGGCGAAAGCGGCUCUCUGGCCUGUAACUGACACUGAGGCUCGAAAGCGUGGGGAGCAAACAGG
rnacentral:rRNA from 1 species